UAGGGAAUCUUCCACAAUGGGCGCAAGCCUGAUGGAGCAACACCGCGUGAGUGAAGAAGGGUUUCGGCUCGUAAAGCUCUGUUGUUGGAGAAGAACGUGCGUGAGAGUAACUGUUCACGCAGUGACGGUAUCCAACCAGAAAGUCACGGCUAACUACGUGCCAGCAGCCGCGGUAAUACGUAGGUGGCAAGCGUUAUCCGGAUUUAUUGGGCGUAAAGCGAGCGCAGGCGGUUGCUUAGGUCUGAUGUGAAAGCCUUCGGCUUAACCGAAGAAGUGCAUCGGAAACCGGGCAACUUGGAGUG
rnacentral:rRNA from 1 species